GGACUACUGGGGUAUCUAAUCCUGUUUGCUCCCCACGCUUUCGUGCAUGAGCGUCAGUGUUAUCCCAGGGGGCUGCCUUCGCCAUCGGUAUUCCUCCACAUCUCUACGCAUUUCACUGCUACACGUGGAAUUCUACCCCCCUCUGACACACUCUAGCUAUGCAGUCACAAAUGCCAUUCCCAGGUUAAGCCCGGGGAUUUCACACCUGUCUUACAUAACCGCCUGCGCACGCUUUACGCCCAGUAAUUCCGAUUAACGCUUGCACCCUACGUAUUACCGCGGCUGCUGGCAC
rnacentral:rRNA from 1 species